AUGAACCCGAUUUCUCCUUAAACCAUGAAGCUAGGCUAUGGGUUUGGCAAGGAUUUGUGGUGAAGAAGGCCAAGGAGGAGGAAUAGACCGUGAGUUUUGAAGAAGAAAGGGAAGCACGAUCGUUAAGGAAGCUUAAGCGGAAAGCAUCAGAGUGUGGAAUACGCCGGCAUUUUCCAGGUAGGGUGAGCUGUCCCUUCCUUGUUAGAGGCUUUUCGAUAUAUGUGGAAUGCUCUAGUAUAAUAUUAUGUUGCCUGCAAGUAUAUUUUUGGUUGUUCAUUAGUCGAUGCCUCGUGAUACUUGUGUUUUCAUAACUGAUAAUUUUUGAUUGCGAAAACCGAGGCUAGACUUGC